AUACGUAGGGGGCGAGCGUUGUCCGGAAUGAUUGGGCGUAAAGGGCGCGUAGGCGGCGCGGUAAGUCUGGAGUGAAAGUCCUGUUUUUAAGAUGGGAAUUGCUUUGGAUACUGUCGGGCUUGAGUGCAGGAGAGGUAAGUGGAAUUCCCAGUGUAGCGGUGAAAUGCGUAGAGAUUGGGAGGAACACCAGUGGCGAAGGCGACUUACUGGACUGUAACUGACGCUGAGGCGCGAAAGUGUGGGGAGCAAACAGGAUUAGAUACCCUGGUAGUCCACACUGUAAACGAUGAAUGCUAGGUGUAGGGGGUAUCGACCCCUUCUGUGCCGCAGUCAACACAAUAAGCAUUCCGCCUGGGGAGUACGGCCGCAAGGUUGAAACUCAAAUGAAUUGGCGGGG
rnacentral:rRNA from 1 species